rnacentral:rRNA from 1 species
UGGGGAAUAUUGCACAAUGGGCGAAAGCCUGAUGCAGCAACGCCGCGUGAGCGAUGAAGGCCUUCGGGUCGUAAAGCUCUGUCCUCAAGGAAGAUAAUGACGGUACCUGAGGAGGAAGCCCCGGCUAACUACGUGCCAGCAGCCGCGGUAAUACGUAGGGGGCAAGCGUUGUCCGGAAUGAUUGGGCGUAAAGGGCGCGUAGGCGGCCUAAUAAGUCUGGAGUGAAAGUCCUGCUUUCAAGGUGGGAAUUGCUUUGGAUACUGUUGGGCUUGAGUGCAGGAGAGGUAAGUGGAAUUCCCAGUGUAGCGGUGAAAUGCGUAGAGAUUGGGAGGAACACCAGUGGCGAAGGCGACUUACUGGACUGUAACUGACGCUGAGGCGCGAAAGUGUGGGGAGCAAACAGG